GAUGAACGCUGGCGGCGUGCCUAAUACAUGCAAGUCGAGCGAACGGACGAGAAGCUUGCUUCUCUGAUGUUAGCGGCGGACGGGUGAGUAACACGUGGAUAACCUACCUAUAAGACUGGGAUAACUUCGGGAAACCGGAGCUAAUACCGGAUAAUAUUUUGAACCGCAUGGUUCAAAAGUGAAAGGCGGUCUUGCUGUCACUUAUAGAUGGAUCCGCGCUGCAUUAGCUAGUUGGUAAGGUAACGGCUUACCAAGGCAACGAUGCAUAGCCGACCUGAGAGGGUGAUCGGCCACACUGGAACUGAGACACGGUCCAGACUCCUACGGGAGGCAGCAGUAGGGAAUCUUCCGCAAUGGGCGAAAGCCUGACGGAGCAACGCCGCGUGAGCGAUGAAGGUCUUCGGAUCGUAAAACUCUGUUAUUAGGGAAGAACAUAUGUGUAAGUAACGGUGCACAUCUUGACGGUACCUAAUCAGAAAGCCACGGCUAACUACGU
rnacentral:rRNA from 1 species